CCGCGGUAUCCUAACCGUGCGAAGGUAGCGCAAUCAAUUGCCCUAUAAAUGAGGGCCUGUAUGAAUGGUAUGACGAGGGUUUAACUGUCUCUUUUUUCCAGUCAGUGAAACUGAUCUGUCCGUGCAGAAGCGGACAUUUUUAUACAAGACGAGAAGACCCUAUGGAGCUUUAGGCACUAACCAACUAUCGGAAGCAAUUUUACAAGUAAAUUCCACUUUAGAUUUUCUGGUAAUGUAGUCUUAGGUUGGGGCGACCACGGGAGAAAAAGAAGCUCCCAAGUAGACAGGGAAUAACCCUGAAACCAAGAGCUACGGCUCUAAGUCGCAAAAUAUUUGACUAAUAUGAUCCGGCCGAUGGCCGAUUAACGAACCAAGUUACCCUAGGGAUAACAGCGCAAUCCUCUCCCAGAGUCCUCAUCGACGAGAGGGUUUACGACCUCGAUGUUGGAUCAGGACAUCCUAAUGGUGCAGCCGCUAUUAAGGGUUCGUUUGUUCAACGAUUAAAGUCCUACAUGAUCUGUUCUCAAAAACACCGGA
rnacentral:rRNA from 1 species